rnacentral:lncRNA from 1 species
GAAGAGCUGGAGCAGAUCGCCACAUGGUUGGACGAGGAGGGAUCCGCUGCCGACUCCCCCAGGGAGGCUCAGCUGUGUUUGCUGUGGCGAGCCCUCCGGCGCACAAGGAGCCGCCUGAGCAGUGUGACGAGGGAGCAGGACACGCAGCGCUCGCGGCACUUCGCAGAGAUGGCAGAGGUCCGAAAGUCCUUGGAGCAGAUCCGCAUCUUUACGGGGCACAAAGACGCUUUGGCUCGGGAGAUACAAGACGAGAACGACCAGCUCAGGGAUCAGCUGCGGCGGCUAAUAUCCCUUCAAGGUUGGAAAUGUUUACCUGUGCCCCACAUCGCCACAGAACGGCCAGAUAAGCGAGGUGGCUAAAAUGCUGUACCAGCAGGGUCUCACAGACUUGAUUCACAGCAGCCCCAGUGAGCAGGUGGCGUACCUCCUGGUGGAGAGGGCCUCGCUACUCGAGACAAGUGUGGAUCCCGCAAACUGCAGCAGCAGCAGCAACAACAACUCGAUGUGUGCUGGAAACACAACCAGGUCGAUGGGGACGGAGACACAAGCUCCCAACAGCAACGCGGGACAGUCGCCCCACAGAGGGGCACUGCAUCACGGCCCUGGUUCCUGGAGGAGACUCUUUGGGCUCCACAAAGCUUCUCAUAGCAAACCUCAUUUUAUACCUGUAUGUACUCUGAUCUACAGUAAUGUUACUGCAUCCAGUCAAAUAUUAACAAAUACUAAAAAACUGUGUGAAUGUGAUUAA